rnacentral:rRNA from 1 species
GAUGAACGCUGGCGGCGUGCCUAAUACAUGCAAGUCGAGCGAACGGACGAUAAGCUUGCUUCUCUGAUGUUAGCGGCGGACGGGUGAGUAACACGUGGAUAACCUACCUAUAAGACUGGGAUAACUUCGGGAAACCGGAUCUAAUACCGGAUAAUAUUUUGAACCGCAUGGUUCAAAAGUGAAUGACGGUCUUGCUGUCACUAAUAGAUGGAUCUGCGCUGCAUUAGCUAGUUGGUAAGGUAACGGCUUACCAAGGCAACGAUGCAUAGCCGACCUGAGAGGGUGAUCGGCCACACUGGAACUGAGACACGGUCCAGACUCCUACGGGAGGCAGCAGUAGGGAAUCUUCCGCAAUGGGCGAAAGCCUGACGGAGCAACGCCGCGUGAGUGAUGAAGGUCUUCGGAUCGUAAAACUCUGUUAUUAGGGAAGAACAUAUGUGUAAGUAACUGUGCACAUCUUGACGGUACCUAAUCAGAAAGCCACGGCUAACUACGUG